CCGACCGGCGCACGGUGAGUAACGCGUAUGCAACUUACCUAUCAGAGGGGAUAACCCGGCGAAAGUCGGACUAAUACCGCAUGAAGCAGGGGCCCCGCAUGGGGAUAUUUGCUAAAGAUUCAUCGCUGAUAGAUAGACAUGCGUUCCAUUAGGCAGUUGGCGGGGUAACGGCCCACCAAACCGACGAUGGAUAGGGGUUCUGAGAGGAAGGUCCCCCACAUUGGUACUGAGACACGGACCAA
rnacentral:rRNA from 1 species